rnacentral:rRNA from 1 species
GACAGAGGGUGCAAACGUUGUUCGGAAUUACUGGGCGUAAAGCGCGUGUAGGCGGCCCUGCAAGUCGGGUGUGAAAUCCCACGGCUCAACCGUGGAAGUGCACUCGAAACUGCAGGGCUAGAGUCCUGGAGAGGAAGGUGGAAUGCUUGGUGUAGAGGUGAAAUUCGUAGAUAUCAAGCGGAACACCGGUGGCGAAGGCGGCCUCUGGACAGUGACUGACGCUGAGACGCGAAAAGCGUGG